rnacentral:pre_miRNA from 1 species
AGGCUGUAAGUGAGUAUUGGAGGGAACUUAACAAGCUGGAAUUUCUUUGUUUUUCAUUUGUUAAGUUUUCUCCAAUAUCUCAUCUCCAGCCU